rnacentral:rRNA from 1 species
CAUCUAGAUUAGAGUUUGAUCCUGGCUCAGGAUGAACGCUAGCGGCAGGCUUAACACAUGCAAGUCGAGGGGUAGAAGUCUUCGGACUUUGAGACCGGCGCACGGGUGCGUAACGCGUAUGCAAUCUACCUUUUACAGAGGGAUAGCCCAGAGAAAUUUGGAUUAAUACCUCAUAGUAUUACGACCUGGCAUCAGGAUGUAAUUAAAGUCACAACGGUAAAAGAUGAGCAUGCGUCCCAUUAGCUAGUUGGUAAGGUAACGGCUUACCAAGGCUACGAUGGGUAGGGGUCCUGAGAGGGAGAUCCCCCACACUGGUACUGAGACACGGACCAGACUCCUACGGGAGGCAGCAGUGAGGAAUAUUGGACAAUGGGCGCAAGCCUGAUCCAGCCAUGCCGCGUGCAGGAUGACGGUCCUAUGGAUUGUAAACUGCUUUUAUACAGGAAGAAACACCUCUACGUGUAGAGACUUGACGGUACUGUAAGAAUAAGGAUCGGCUAACUCCGUGCCAGCAGCCGCGGUAAUACGGAGGAUCCAAGCGUUAUCCGGAAUCAUUGGGUUUAAAGGGUCCGUAGGCGGUUUAGUAAGUCAGUGGUGAAAGCCCAUCGCUCAACGGUGGAACGGCCAUU